AGUGAACGCUGGCGGUAGGCCUAACACAUGCAAGUCGAACGGCAGCACAGUAAGAGCUUGCUCUUACGGGUGGCGAGUGGCGGACGGGUGAGGAAUACAUCGGAAUCUACUUUUUCGUGGGGGAUAACGUAGGGAAACUUACGCUAAUACCGCAUACGACCUACGGGUGAAAGCAGGGGAUCUUCGGACCUUGCGCGAUUGAAUGAGCCGAUGUCGGAUUAGAUAGUUGGCGGGGUAAAGGCCCACCAAGGCGACGAUCCGUAGCUGGUCUGAGAGGAUGAUCAGCCACACGGGAACGGAGACACGGACAAGACGACUGAGGGAGGGAGCAGUGGGGAAUAGUGGACAAUGGGCGCAAGCAUGAUCCAGCCAGACCGCGUGGGUGAAGAAGGCGUUCGGGUUGUAAAGACCUUUUGUUGGGAAAGAAAAGCAGCAGGUUAAGAACAAGCUGUAGUGACGGUACCCAAAGAAGAAGCACCGGCUAACUUCGUG
rnacentral:rRNA from 1 species